rnacentral:rRNA from 1 species
CCUUUUGUAUAAUGGGUCAGCGACUUAUAUUCUGUAGCAAGGUUAACCGAAUAGGGGAGCCGAAGGGAAACCGAGUCUUAACUGGGCGUUAAGUUGCAGGGUAUAGACCCGAAACCCGGUGAUCUAGCCAUGGGCAGGUUGAAGGUUGGGUAACACUAACUGGAGGACCGAACCGACUAAUGUUGAAAAAUUAGCGGAUGACUUGUGGCUGGGGGUGAAAGGCCAAUCAAACCGGGAGAUAGCUGGUUCUCCCCGAAAGCUAUUUAGGUAGCGCCUCGUGAAUUCAUCUCCGGGGGUAGAGCACUGUUUCGGCAAGGGGGUCAUCCCGACUUACCAACCCGAUGCAAACUGCGAAUACCGGAGAAUGUUAUCACGGGAGACACACGGCGGGUGCUAACGUCCGUCGUGAAGAGGGAAACAACCCAGACCGCCAGCUAAGGUCCCAAAGUCAUGGUUAAGUGGGAAACGAUGUGGGAAGGCCCAGACAGCCAGGAUGUUGGCUUAGAAGCAGCCAUCAUUUAAAGAAAGCGUAAUAGCUCACUGGUCGAGUCGGCCUGCGCGGAAGAUGUAACGGGGCUAAACCAUGCACCGAAGCUGCGGCAGCGACACUAUGUGUUGUUGGGUAGGGGAGCGUUCUGUAAGCCUGUGAAGGUGUGCUGUGAGGCAUGCUGGAGGUAUCAGAAGUGCGAAUGCUGACAUAAGUAACGAUAAAGCGGGUGAAAAGCCCGCUCGCCGGAAGACCAAGGGUUCCUGUCCAACGUUAAUCGGGGCAGGGUGAGUCGACCCCUAAGGCGAGGCCGAAAGGCGUAGUCGAUGGGAAACAGGUUAAUAUUCCUGUACUUGGUGUUACUGCGAAGGGGGGACGGAGAAGGCUAUGUUGGCCGGGCGACGGUUGUCCCGGUUUAAGCGUGUAGGCUGGUUUUCCAGGCAAAUCCGGAAAAUCAAGGCUGAGGCGUGAUGACGAGGCACUACGGUGCUGAAGCAACAAAUGCCCUGCUUCCAGGAAAAGCCUCUAAGCAUCAGGUAACAUCAAAUCGUACCCCAAACCGACACAGGUGGUCAGGUAGAGAAUACCAAGGCGCUUGAGAGAACUCGGGUGAAGGAACUAGGCAAAAUGGUGCCGUAACUUCGGGAGAAGGCACGCUGAUAUGUAGGUGAAGUCCCUUGCGGAUGGAGCUGAAAUCAGUCGAAGAUACCAGCUGGCUGCAACUGUUUAUUAAAAACACAGCACUGUGCAAACACGAAAGUGGACGUAUACGG